CCGAGUGAGGGCCCCCGGCCCGACCUCCAACCCUUUGUUAUCAAAACCACUGUUGCCUCGGGGGCGACCCGGGCCCGCCGGUCCAGGGCCCCCGAUGGACAAUUUCAAAACACUGCAUCUUUGCGUCGUAUUACAAAGUUUAAUUGAUUUA
rnacentral:misc_RNA from 1 species